GAAAUGCGAUAAGUAAUGUGAAUUGCAGAAUUCAGUGAAUCAUCGAAUCUUUGAACGCACCUUGCACUCCUUGGUAUUCCGAGGAGUACGCCUGUUCGAGUGUUAUGAAGCUCUCAAAACGCAAUUGGCUUAAAACCUGAUUGUUGUUUUGGAUUUGAACUUUGCCGUGUUAUAACGGCUGGUUUUAAAAGUAUUAGCUGGUACUAGAACGAAUUGGUUCUACUCAACGUGAUAAUUAUCUGAUCGUUGAGGACAUUCCUUUCACGAGGAAUGGCCAUAGUAAAUUCAAUGGACUGCUUCUAAUCUGGCUUUAAUUCUUUAUUGGAUUAACCACUUUUCAAAUCUGACCUCGAAUCAGGUGGGACUACCCGCUGAACUUAA
rnacentral:misc_RNA from 1 species